AAGGAGGGGUCAAGGUCAGGGGAGAGCAGGUGCAAAGGCCCUGAGGUGAACUCAAGUCUGUGUGUUGGAGGGCAACAGGAAGGCCACCAAGCCAGCAGAGCCAAGGGAGUACCGCAAGAGAUGAGGGCGGCAAAAGCAGGGCCCAGACCAGGAAGGGCCUCGGGCAGGGAAGCAGCCUCGUGAACAAGGUUGGAAAACCCUGCUCGAGUCACCAGAGACGGCAGCCCCGGCCCACAGCUUGACCUCCGCAGAGGCCCCAAGCCAGGCGCCCGGCCCAGCGGCUCACAGAUCCCCGCCCCCCGGGACCGGUGAGACGGUAAUGUCUACUGUGGUGAGCUGCUACAUUCGAGGCUGUUUGUUAUGCAGCCAUGGAUAACUGAUACAGGUGGAAAGGUUCGAUGGCGGAGCGCGGGGGUGGGGGUGGCGGAUAGAGGGAAGGCUGGGGCCGGUCCGGGUCAUCGCCCAGGCUGUGCGUGGGCAGAACAGCAUGGCCAGUGGGCCCAGUGUGCAGUCCCCCUCCCGGCACACUGAGGAGAGCACAGAGGUGGCUCGUUGCCCUCAGCAGUACUCCUGGCAGUGAGAGGCAGCCACCCCCACACCAGCGGGUGACUCCCCCAGCAGGGGUGCUGAACAGCCGCCUCAGGGAGACCGAGCCAGCAGCUACAGGCAGGCCACGUCCGGUGCUCUCCGGGGAGCGGGGCCCACAGGGAGCCCUGAGGCCGGUGGCCCUCCAGCUGUGCACCUGAGCCCCAGGGGCCUGCCCCGGGACCCCCCACCAGUGAUAGGCCAGGGCCCAUGCCCUGGGGCUGGGCAGCUCCCCCGCAGAGCGCCGGUUCCUGGGAGGGUCUCUGCUGAGAGCAGUCUGGAGGCAGAGUCGCUGAAACACAGAGGGGACGAGUCCCCAAAGGAGACCCUGGCGGGAGGAGGGCAGGCAGGCCUGGGGACUGUGCACCCUGGGGUCCCCUUGUUAGCAAGUGACAGUUUCUGCUGUCAUUGGAGAAGCAGAGCUCACGCCUGGAGCACGUUCCCCCCCAACCCCAGGACCUUCCCCUCUGCCCCACUGUCCAGCCCAAGCGCCCCAAACUUUCCGCUGCGCCUCAGUCCCUACCCUGAGGGUAGGCCCGCUGUGGGGCAGGCCCCGCAUGAGUUCUGGGCCUGCAGGCUGUAGGGAGGAGAGCAGGCCCCUUCCCUGGGUCCCAAUCACCCCUGCUGGAGGAGCGCCAUCCCCAGAACUGCCCAGGGUCCCAGGACCCAGGUAGAGAGAAUACCGCACUCCCAAGCCCCUGGAGGCCCCUCCCCUCCCCCCUCCAGCCCCACGGCUUCCAAGAGCCCUAAGGAGGAGGCGCUGACGCUGUCCGUACCAGAAAGGCAGCUUGCGGGCGUUCUGGGGGGGGGGGUGGCACGCGGGUCUGGCACACGGGUACUGGCGGAAAUGAAGUUUGGGACUCAGCUCGGCUAGAACUAGAAGAAAGGAGACUGUCCUCUUGUAGCCAGGGCCACCAGGACAACCCCAGGGCACCAGCCACGUGGCCACCCUAUGAGCAGAGCCCCAGAGGGCUGAGAGCGGGGAGUUUCCCCGGGAAUAAGGAAGUGUGCGCAGGGACACGAGGCAAGAUGUGGCGGCCAGCCAAACGCAAGGUGUGUUCGGGCUGUCAUCUUUCCCACAGCAACCAGCAGCCAAAGCAGCGGGUGCUCUUUUUCUCGGAUGUUCUUCUGGGUCAUCUCCCCUCCCUCUCUCCCAUCACCCACCUCGGGCAUGUGGCUCCGGCCAGCAGUCCCGGCCUUUCAGAGCCAGCCGCAGCACCGGAUUCGUGGUGGCAUGGGGUGGUGCCAGGCCAAUCCCCAAACACGCACCGGAGUCACUGGGAAAAAGCUUUCUCGCUUCUGGACUUGAGCAGAGAGUAGACAGCAUCCGACGCGGGCAAUUGAAGGCUGGGAGGGAUGGCCUUCACUACUCCUCUGCCACCUUCCAAAGUGCAUGCGAACGUCCUGGAGUCAAGUCCUGCCUCGAGCUACACAGGGAAGGGACUUCUGGCAUUGCACAGUGACACAACCCAAAUCACCACGCUUAACU